GCCAAUGCAUGCUUUUACAGUAUGAAAAUUGGUGAUUUAUAAUAACUUAGCAAAUCGCAAAGUGAAAACAGGCGAUAAAUCAUUCAAGUUUCUGACCUAUCAGCUUUCGACGGUAUGGUAUUGGCUUACCGUGGCAGUGACGGUUAACGGGGGAUUAGGGUUCGAUUCCGGAGAGGGAGCCUGAGAAACGGCUACCACAUCUAAGGAAGGCAGCAGGCGCGCAAAUUACCCAAUUCUAACAGUUUGAGAGAGGUAGUAACAAGAAAUAACAAUACAAGGCAGUUAAAAUGCUUUGUAAUUGGAAUGAUAGAAAUUUAAACCCUUUUUAAAGUAUCAAUUGGAGGGCAAGUCUGGUGCCAGCAGCCGCGGUAAUUCCAGCUCCAAUAGCGUAUAUUAAAAUUGUUGCAGUUAAAAAGCUCGUAGUUGAAGUUCUGCUAAAAGUAACCGGUCUGCUUUGAAUAAAAGUGGUAUCUUGGUAUGUAUUUAGCAAUGAUGUCCUUUGAAGUGUUUUUUACUUUAUUGUAAUAAAGCAUAUUCAGGACUUUUACUUUGAGAAAAUUAGAGUGUUUCUAGCAGGCCAACGCUUUGAAUACUGC
rnacentral:rRNA from 1 species